rnacentral:rRNA from 2 species
UAAGAUACUAAGGGCAAACGGUGGAUGCCUUGGCGCUAAGAAGCGAUGAAGGACGUGAUAGGCUGCGAAAUUCGACGGUGAGUCGCCAAAUAGACUUUGACCCGUCGGUGUCCGAAUGGGGAAACCCAGCUGGAGUUAUGUCCAGUUACUGCCUGGCUGAAUACAUAGGCCUUGCAGAGCGAACCCGGUGAAGUGAAACAUCUCAGUAGCCGGAGGAAUAGAAAUCAAACGAGAUUCCCAAAGUAGCGGCGAGCGAAAUGGGAUUAGCCCAAACCGUGCAGUUUCGACUGUGCGGGGUUGUAGGGCCGUCCAUAAGUGAUUCAUAAUUAGAUAGGGGAACAAGCUGGGAUGCUUGACCAUAGAGAGUGAAAGUCUCGUACCUGAAGUCGAAAGUGACACGGACGGUUCCUGAGUACCGCGGGACACGAGAAACCCCGUGGGAACCUGGGAGGACCAUCUUCCAAGGCUAAAUAUUACUUAGCGACCGAUAGCGAACUAGUACCGUGAGGGAAAGGUGAAAAGUACCCCUGUGAGGGGAGUGAAAUAGUACCUGAAACCGUUUGUCUACAAGCAGUGGGAGUGGACUUUGUUCCACAACCGCGUGCCUUUUGCAUAAUGGGCCAGCGAGUUAAUCUAUUGUGCGAGGUUAAGCCGAAAGGUGUAGCCGAAGCGAAAGCGAGUCUGAAUAGGGCGUCAGUACAAUGGAUUAGACCCGAAGCUAGGUGAUCUAUCCAUGAGCAGGCUGAAGCUUAGGUAAAACUGAGUGGAGGGCCGAACCGUUGUAAGUUGAAAAUUGCUCGGAUGACUUGUGGAUAGGGGUGAAAGGCCAAUCAAACCUAGUGAUAGCUGGUUCUCUCCGAAAUAUAUUGAGGUAUAGCCUCAGACUGAGAUUUGCG